rnacentral:rRNA from 1 species
UUAAGCGACUAAGCGUACACGGUGGAUGCCCUGGCAGUCAGAGGCGAUGAAGGACGUGCUAAUCUGCGAUAAGCGUCGGUAAGGUGAUAUGAACCGUUAUAACCGGCGAUUUCCGAAUGGGGAAACCCAGUGUGAUUCGUCACACUAUCAUUAACUGAAUCCAUAGGUUAAUGAGGCGAACCGGGGGAACUGAAACAUCUAAGUACCCCGAGGAAAAGAAAUCAACCGAGAUUCCCCCAGUAGCGGCGAGCGAACGGGGAGGAGCCCAGAGCCUGAAUCAGUGUGUGUGUUAGUGGAAGCGUCUGGAAAGGCGCGCGAUACAGGGUGACAGCCCCGUACACAAAAAUGCACAUACUGUGAGCUCGAUGAGUAGGGCGGGACACGUGGUAUCCUGUCUGAAUAUGGGGGGACCAUCCUCCAAGGCUAAAUACUCCUGACUGACCGAUAGUGAACCAGUACCGUGAGGGAAAGGCGAAAAGAACCCCGGCGAGGGGAGUGAAAAAGAACCUGAAACCGUGUACGUACAAGCAGUGGGAGCCUCUUUAUGGGGUGACUGCGUACCUUUUGUAUAAUGGGUCAGCGACUUAUAUUCUGUAGCAAGGUUAACCGAAUAGGGGAGCCGAAGGGAAACCGAGUCUUAACUGGGCGUUAAGUUGCAGGGUAUAGACCCGAAACCCGGUGAUCUAGCCAUGGGCAGGUUGAAGGUUGGGUAACACUAACUGGAGGACCGAACCGACUAAUGUUGAAAAAUUAGCGGAUGACUUGUGGCUGGGGGUGAAAGGCCAAUCAAACCGGGAGAUAGCUGGUUCUCCCCGAAAGCUAUUUAGGUAGCGCCUCGUGAAUUCAUCUCCGGGGGUAGAGCACUGUUUCGGCAAGGGGGUCAUCCCGACUUACCAACCCGAUGCAAACUGCGAAUACCGGAGAAUGUUAUCACGGGAGACACACGGCGGGUGCUAACGUCCGUCGUGAAGAGGGAAACAACCCAGACCGCCAGCUAAGGUCCCAAAGUCAUGGUUAAGUGGGAAACGAUGUGGGAAGGCCCAGACAGCCAGGAUGUUGGCUUAGAAGCAGCCAUCAUUUAAAGAAAGCGUAAUAGCUCACUGGUCGAGUCGGCCUGCGCGGAAGAUGUAACGGGGCUAAACCAUGCACCGAAGCUGCGGCAGCGACACUAUGUGUUGUUGGGUAGGGGAGCGUUCUGUAAGCCUGUGAAGGUGUACUGUGAGGUAUGCUGGAGGUAUCAGAAGUGCGAAUGCUGACAUAAGUAACGAUAAAGCGGGUGAAAAGCCCGCUCGCCGGAAGACCAAGGGUUCCUGUCCAACGUUAAUCGGGGCAGGGUGAGUCGACCCCUAAGGCGAGGCCGAAAGGCGUAGUCGAUGGGAAACAGGUUAAUAUUCCUGUACUUGGUGUUACUGCGAAGGGGGGACGGAGAAGGCUAUGUUGGCCGGGCGACGGUUGUCCCGGUUUAAGCGUGUAGGCUGAUUUUCCAGGCAAAUCCGGAAAAUCAAGGCUGAGGCGUGAUGACGAGGCACUACGGUGCUGAAGCAACAAAUGCCCUGCUUCCAGGAAAAGCCUCUAAGCAUCAGGUAACAUCAAAUCGUACCCCAAACCGACACAGGUGGUCAGGUAGAGAAUACCAAGGCGCUUGAGAGAACUCGGGUGAAGGAACUAGGCAAAAUGGUGCCGUAACUUCGGGAGAAGGCACGCUGAUAUGUAGGUGAAGCGACUUGCUCGUGGAGCUGAAAUCAGUCGAAGAUACCAGCUGGCUGCAACUGUUUAUUAAAAACACAGCACUGUGCAAACACGAAAGUGGACGUAUACGGUGUGACGCCUGCCCGGUGCCGGAAGGUUAAUUGAUGGGGUUAGCGGUAACGCGAAGCUCUUGAUCGAAGCCCCGGUAAACGGCGGCCGUAACUAUAACGGUCCUAAGGUAGCGAAAUUCCUUGUCGGGUAAGUUCCGACCUGCACGAAUGGCGUAAUGAUGGCCAGGCUGUCUCCACCCGAGACUCAGUGAAAUUGAACUCGCUGUGAAGAUGCAGUGUACCCGCGGCAAGACGGAAAGACCCCGUGAACCUUUACUAUAGCUUGACACUGAACAUUGAGCCUUGAUGUGUAGGAUAGGUGGGAGGCUUUGAAGUGUGGACGCCAGUCUGCAUGGAGCCGACCUUGAAAUACCACCCUUUAAUGUUUGAUGUUCUAACGUUGGCCCCUGAUCGGGGUUGCGGACAGUGUCUGGUGGGUAGUUUGACUGGGGCGGUCUCCUCCUAAAGAGUAACGGAGGAGCACGAAGGUUGGCUAAUCCUGGUCGGACAUCAGGAGGUUAGUGCAAUGGCAUAAGCCAGCUUGACUGCGAGCGUGACGGCGCGAGCAGGUGCGAAAGCAGGUCAUAGUGAUCCGGUGGUUCUGAAUGGAAGGGCCAUCGCUCAACGGAUAAAAGGUACUCCGGGGAUAACAGGCUGAUACCGCCCAAGAGUUCAUAUCGACGGCGGUGUUUGGCACCUCGAUGUCGGCUCAUCACAUCCUGGGGCUGAAGUAGGUCCCAAGGGUAUGGCUGUUCGCCAUUUAAAGUGGUACGCGAGCUGGGUUUAGAACGUCGUGAGACAGUUCGGUCCCUAUCUGCCGUGGGCGCUGGAGAACUGAGGGGGGCUGCUCCUAGUACGAGAGGACCGGAGUGGACGCAUCACUGGUGUUCGGGUUGUCAUGCCAAUGGCACUGCCCGGUAGCUAAAUGCGGAAGAGAUAAGUGCUGAAAGCAUCUAAGCACGAAACUUGCCCCGAGAUGAGUUCUCCCUGACUCCUUGAGAGUCCUGAAGGAACGUUGAAGACGACGACGUUGAUAGGCCGGGUGUGUAAGCGCAGCGAUGCGUUGAGCUAACCGGUACUAAUGAACCGUGAGGCUUAACCUU